GGACCCGCACAAGUAGUGGAGCAUGUGGUUUAAUUCGAAGAUACGCGCAGAACCUUACCAACACUUGACAUGUUCGUCGCGACUCUAAGAGAUUAGAGUUUUCGGUUCGGCCGGACGAAACACAGGUGCUGCAUGGCUGUCGUCAGCUCGUGUCGUGAGAUGUUGGGUUAAGUCCCGCAACGAGCGCAACCCUCACUUUUAGUUGCCAUCAUUUAGUUGGGCACUCUGAAAGAACUGCCAGUGAUAAGCUGGAGGAAGGUGGGGAUGACGUCAAGUCCUCAUGGCCCUUACGUGUUGGGCUACACACGUGCUACAAUGGUAUCUACAACAGGAAGCAAAACGGCGACGUUAAGCAAAUCCUUAAAAGAUACCCAAGUUCGGAUUGCACUCUGCAACUCGAGUGCAUGAAGCUGGAAUUACUAG
rnacentral:rRNA from 1 species